rnacentral:lncRNA from 1 species
UUUCAGUUUAUAGUGAACUUACAUUAUAACUUAGUAAUUUUUCAUCCAACUUAGUAAUUUGAAAUCCAAGAGCUAAAACGCACACAUGUUUCAUCUUUAUCUUUCACGGGGUAAACAGAGCUAAUAGUCAAAAGACUGUAAGGCUACAAAGGACAAAGUUUACAUUAACGCCCAGAUUCGGAAGAAACCAUGAACCCUGCAAACGUUUUCAUAAUAUUAUAUGCUAUAGUUUUAGCUCAUGUAUACGGCAUCAAUUACGCCAAAAAUUGUAAAAAUAAUAUUGAAUAUCACAAAAAUAUUGUCAAUUGUGUUUGUGUGCCAAAUAUAAACAAAGUGGACAACGAAAUAGCGGAAAAGUGUCCUGAAGGAUAUGUUGUAAAUUACUAUUAAAUUUGAUAAUUAAA